CGUGAUCAUUGGGGGCGGCAUCGCCGGCCUUGCGACGGCCGCGGGUCUGAUCCGCCGCGGCAUCGAGGUUCGGAUCCUCGACCGCGGC
rnacentral:tRNA from 1 species